AGCGUGACAGCUGUGGGAAAGAAGCUGUUCCAGUGCCUGGUGGUUCUGGUCCGUAGGCUUCUGUAGCGUCUCCCAGAGGGCAGGAGGGAAGAUGAUGACCAUGAUGAUGAUGGUUUUAGACUCCAGUCUGUCUCCCCUCGGCGUCCAUCUUGGAAGGCCUUCCUCCUCCAUCCCGCCGGAGUCUUCCUCAUGACUCAUCCGUCUCCAUGGAAACGGGCUGUGUGGACCUGAGCGGCGGCCAUGAUGCCACCCUCCGGAGGGGAACAGCGCCCUCUGCUGUAAUCAGCCAUCAGUCACAGAUUAUAACCUCAGAGAUCGGAGGGAGGCACCAGAACCGGAACCGGAACCAGAACCAGGACCGGAACUGGAACUGGAAGCAGGACCUCUCAUCUUGGUCAGCUCCACAGUUUGGACCGGUCUGCUGGUUCUGCCAGUCGGUUGCUAUGCGUCUCGUCUUGCUCUCCGGUCCGCUCGGGCCGGCGGUUCUGAUUCGGUCCAGAUGUGGAAACGCUGCGAUUGAUGGAAAUCUGUCAUCAGAUGGUUUAUUAGUAAACCGGUUUGAGAACGUUCCUCAUUUCAAAAUGGUUCCUGAACGUUUUGAGAUUUGUUUUCCCUCCAUCUGGGCCGGGGUUAAAGGUCACUGUUCUUCCAGAUGGGAUUCCUCCUGGGUUUCAUUUACUCACUCCCUGUGGUUCCGUCCAGAAUCAGAUCAGAUUAAAUCCAGAGUUGAAUCA